ACUGAUUUGAUUUGCUUUGCCGAAGUGCUAGCAAAGCAUCAGUCAAUCGUCAAUUAUCGUAAGACGCACGAAGACGAUCAUAUCAUAAAGGCCCGUCCACAUAGAACUUUGGCGUUGCGUUGGCGUUGGCGUCGCUUUGACAGCAGCGCGAGUGGCGUGUGUUCUUGCUACAAUGAACGUUUUGACAGCGCCGGCGAUGACAUUUGUUCAAGCCACGUGGUAGAGUAAACAACCGGGAAAUAAGAAAAAGUUUAUAAUUUAGUUAAUAAAACGCAUACAAAUAUAACAAAGCCGAAUUACUUACGGCGGUAUAGCUUCAUAGGAAGGCGGCCCAAUAAUUUAAAUCAUCAAAUAGACAUUUGUUUUGUUUUUGCCAGUGAAAAUAUUUGUGUAUCCUCGAGCGUUAUUAAAAAAAUGAUGUUAUCUUUUAUCGAAAUAAUAUUAAUAGUGCUACUUAGGUACGAGCCUCGCGAGUGUUUGAAGAAAAUUAAUUCUCGGCGGCGGGAGUGGGUAAGACCUCUUUACUUAAGUCGCGACAUUGAUGGACUAUUUGUAACCAGUUUUGACGAAAUGUACAAAAAUGACCCGGAGCAGUUCAAAACUACGGUGAGGAUGACUAAGGAGGUGUUUGAUUUGCUCUUUGGGCUCGUGAUGGAACGCCUCAUAAAGUAUUCCAACAGGCCGUCAAUUUCUGCAGAAAUGAGACUAUUCUUAACAUUGAAUUUCCUAGCACACGGGGGAACUCAGCAUUUGUACGCUACAGCGUAUAAAGUGGGUCGCUCCACAGUCAACAAAAUAAUUUUGGAAACCUGCGAAGGACUUCAACACUAUUUGGGAUUUCGCGAACUGUGUGGGCGCAAUCGACGGAAAGCACAUCACUUUAAAAUGUCUUUCCAACUCCGGAUCUCUUUUUUACAAUUACAAGGGUACCUACUCCAUCGUAUUAUUAGCAUGUUGCGAUGCGAAUUACACAUUUACUUCUAUCGAUAUUGGUGCGUACGGUUCGCAAAGCGACGGCGGUGUGCUUUGGAAUUCUGGAUUUGGUCAAAGGCUGUUCCAUGAUCAACUAGACCUGCCUGAGGAUGACAUUUUACCAGACAGCAAUAUUAAGUUUCCGCAUUAUUUCGUUGGAGAUGCAGCAUUUCCUUUAAAAAAAAAUUUAAUGCGGCCAUAUCCUGGAUUGCAUCUGCCACCCGAUCGUGAAAAUUUUAAUAAGCGCCUUUCAAGAGCUCGGCGUGUUAUUGAAAACGCCUUCGGAAUUAUGACAGCACGAUGGAGGAUUUUGCUAUUCAUAUUUUUGAUGCUGGCUGUUUUUAUAUAU